AUGUUGCUUAAUCGCCUGUGGGGGAGCUGCAGCCCUGGAAAGGAGCCUGGGCUGUGGGGCUGCCAGGACCUGGCUGGUCUUCUACUCCAAGACAGAGGAGAAUAUCAUUCUUGGGUAAAAUCUCCUUCAAAUGACCUUUGUGAGAGAAGUCCUGUCUGCUUCAGCAUCUGCCUUCCUCGGCCCUUACCCAUGGGAUUGAGAAUAUUAAUGCCAGGAAGAGGUCAGACAUUGAUAUUGAAGAGCAGACCUGUGUUGGAAUGAAUGCAGUUCUAGGGCGAGACUGGUGAAUGAAGAAGGGUAAGUAUGAAUGAGGGCUGACUAGAGCAUGACAGAGAAGAAGGUCAAAAGUACCACAUGUUAAGCUGAAGCCAAGGUUUUUGGGUUUUUUUUUCUCUUUUUUUGGCCAUCCCCAUGGCAUAUGGAGUUCCUGGGCCAGGGACCAGAUCUCAGCCAGAGCUGCUGGACCCUUAACCCACUUAACUCAUUGUGCCAGGCCAGGGAUUGAACCUGAGUGCUAGGGCUCCAGAGACACUUCUGAUCCUGCUGCACCAUAGCAGGAACUCCUGAAGCCAAGAGUCUAAUGAAAGAUUAAGGUGUUCUAAUAAAAGACAGCAAGUGCUCA
rnacentral:lncRNA from 1 species